GCUUCAUUUCUGUACACUUCCUGCACAUCUGCAGGUCAAAGACCACAGAUCUAGAUUCUAUUACAGAUUAAAUAGGAAAAUUGAUGAAAAGGAAGAAUCUGAGACGAAAUGGGUGGUCAACAAAUUGCAAGAAAGAUGAAUCAAAAAGAAAUAAAGAGGAGGAAAAAGAUUUUAAUAAAGUUGUAAAGGACAUAAGAAAAGUUGAAAAGCAAACAGAGGACUACAGGCAUCAAUGAAAGUAGCCAAUGUGAGAGGAAAUUAAACAAGAUAUGACAGCAUGGAGGCAGACUGCGUUCUGCCGAGAGAAAAAGAAAUGAAGCUGCUCUAGACAUUGUUUCUGUUAUUUUUCUUUCAAAGCAAAAUAAAUACCUAAAUAUGUA